rnacentral:rRNA from 1 species
GGGGAAUCUUGCGCAAUGGGGGAAACCCUGACGCAGCGACGCCGCGUGGGUGAAGAAGGCCUUCGGGUUGUAAAGCCCUGUCGUAAGGGAAAAACGAUCACAUAAAUAACAAGUAUGUGAAGUGAUGGUACCUUAGGAGGAAGCACCGGCUAACUCUGUGCCAGCAGCCGCGGUAAUACAGAGGGUGCAAGCGUUGUUCGGAAUUAUUGGGCGUAAAGGGCAGGUAGGUGGUCUUUUAAGUCUGCUGUGAAAGCCCCGGGCUUAACCUGGGAAGUGCGGUGGAUACUGGAAGACUAGAGUGCUAUAGGGGUACGCGGAAUUCCCGGUGUAGCGGUGAAAUGCGUAGAUAUCGGGAGGAAUACCAGAGGCGAAGGCGGCGUACUGGAGAGCAACUGACACUAAACUGCGAAAGCGUGGGGAGCAAAC